rnacentral:misc_RNA from 1 species
GGUAGCCAUUAAUAGGAUUCAAAAAUAUUGGUGUUGCUGUUUCUUUGCCAUCAUUAAAUGUAAUGGGUGUGGUCUGCCAUAGUCUGUAAUUGGGUAAUCAUUUGAAAUGCAGCUGACUCCUGUGCUUCAGAGGGGGCUGGAAUGCAGAUCACUCUCGCAAAAAUGUACAAAUCCAACCCUAUUUACAGUAACUCCAGCAUGAAAUCCACAUCAUGGAGUGUGUACAGCUUUGGACAAUCUCCUUCCGCUCAUUGGUUGAAUCAAGCCAAACUCUUUGUGAUGUGGAUUGCCGUCUUCUUGGAUAGAAGCUCUGUCCUUCAAGCACAUUUCAUCACAGAAGGCCAGUACCGUAUCUAUUUUUAGAGCCAAACUAUCUUUGCCACCAUCUAAGAUUCUCUCAAUACUUUUAUCACAUGAAGCAAUUUCAUUUCCAAGUUUAAGUUGUUGAUCAUACAAUUUCUGUCGUUUUUGAAAAAGAACUUCAAGGGAACUUUUUGUCAAAGCCUCCUCUUUUGAAGCCAAAACAGUUUGUAGAUCGCUUAUAUCUGUAGAUUCAUGCUUGCAAGGAACAAAUCGAGUAUGUGCCACAGAAAUCCCAUUUUGAUUGGAUGAGACAGUGGAAAGGUCUUCUUUAUCAGCCUUCACCUCAUCAGCUCUUUCUGCCUUGCGAAUUAUACCACUUCCAAUGAUUUCUCCAUCACUCUCCCUCGUCCUCUUU